UGGGUCAAGCAGCAAUGUGGAGUCUGUCUUGCUAACUAGGGUCUUUCAGAAGCUAUAGGAAGGCAUGCACAGUACAGAUUUCAGGAAAGAAAUGAAGGGGAUAUAAAGAAAGAAGGGAGAAUGUGUUUGGAUAUGAAAGUAUUUUGAAUAGUGAAAUUUUUCCAAAGGGUUAAAGUACAUUACAGAAGGUUUGCAAGGGAUGAAGCAUAUGACAUGUAGUAAAGUGGGAUACAGCUUGCACUAAAACAAAACAAAACAAAACAAAACAAAACAAAAAAAGAGGCAGCUCAAACAAUGAAGCCAGAAAGGUUAUUGGUGAUGGUAUCAGACCAACCUCUGGAGUGAUGUCCCCAGUGCUGAUUGAGAGUAGAGGGUCUGAGACUCAGGGUAUUUGUAUAAGCCAGUUCGGUUGAUCCAUUUAUGCAGGGAGUCUGUCAGAUAAACCUAUGACCCUCCUCUACUCACAUGAGAGAUUCGUUGCUUAAUGGUCCUGUGAGGGCUUUCAGCAGUCUGGCUAUUCUCCAUUCUGGCAUUUACAUAGUCAUUAAGGCAGCAUGCUGGGGUGGCUCUGGACAUCUGGGGCAGACUACGGCAGCAGUGUUGGAUGUGUGCAGUGUAUUCCUCUCCCGAGUAUUCAGCAAGCUCCUAUGUUGUUUGGGUCUCCACCAUGCACUUUGGUGGAGUUUUGCCCCAAAUCAGCUUCAGAGCAGUUAAAAAGACAGACUUUCAGCUCUCAUUAAGAUUAAGGAGAAUGAAAUCUCAGGGGAGAAGUGAGACAGACAAGAAGCACCUGGCUGGGGACUGGGGCUUUAGCUCAGUGGUGCCACACCUGCCUGGCAAGUGCAAAGUCCUGAGUUCAACUUCUGGUACCAAAAAAAAAAAGAAGCACCUGGCUUUCUCAUUUUUUUCCCCUGCUGACUAGAGGGGAUGUGGCUUAGCCAGCAGCUGUCUGCCCCUCCCCUUUGUUUCCCUUUGCUCCCCCUUGCACCCCAAUGGACUGGGACAGUUUGCUUCAGUGUCCUCCCUGGUUAUCCAAUGACAUCUUCACUGGCUGUCAAACCACCAUUUUGCACUGCAGUAUGAAUGCAGCCAAGCAUGGUGUCCUUUCCCCACGAGUCUUCUGAGUCCUUCCUUUGUCCCAGUUCCUUGAGGAAUUCCAUUUAAGUAACUGUACUCUUGGUCACCCCUGCACUAACCCCAAAGCAGCCAUCUGUAGGCUCCCUAAAGCUUCAUCUGGUGGCUCCCUGGUGAAGCCACUUUAUCCUGCUUGAUGAUAGGAAAACCCAAUUCCUCAAGAGUUUAAAAAUACAAUAUACAAAGAAAAUGAGCAUGGUGGAUUAAAAUGGAGGGCCAAGAUAAAGUAGCAAAUAGUAAUAAAACGUAAUAAUAUAGUGGUAAAGAGCAAUAGUGCAGCUUAAAGAGAGAAGAGGGAGUCAAUUGUUAGCAGCAGGGACGGCCACUUAGGAAUCACUGAGUAAGGCACUGGGCGGCCAUGAGGGAAGGUGCCCAAGACAUCUGCUUCUGAGAGGCACCUCUGGAGUGGCUGCUGGGUUCUAAGAGUUGAGAUGGAAGUGUCAAGGCAGGUGGCUUCAGAGUAUGAAGGCUUUCCUAAGGGGAGAUGUAGGUACAGAGAGUUUUCAAAGAAAUACUUUUCUAGAUUCUCAAAUUCCUUACAUACUGAAUUCUUGAAAUUACUUGGCUUGGGGUGGAGGCCUCAUGUGGAGUUUCCAGUCUCCUCUCCCCUCCUGUUGUCAUCAUUCUGCUCCUUUCUAGGAGUAGGUGAGGGACAUUAUCCCUAGGGGCCCAAAUAGAAGGGUCAUCCAUAUACUGGAAUCAGAUAUUAGUGUCAACAAGCCUCUUCUAAUAAUUUCACCACCUUGAUCUAAGAGGAAGAAGGUUGUGUUUACUUUUGCUAUGGUAGGCUGCCUAAUGCCCCCUCAAAGAUAUCCAGAACCCACGAAUAUGUUAUCUUACGUGGCAAAAAGACUGCAAGGUGUACAUCUGUAAUCUCAGCACUUUUGGAGGCUCAAGCCAGAGGAUAUUAAAUUUGAGCCCAGCCAGGGCAACUUAGCAACUUAGCAAGACCCAAUCUCAAACUAAAAAAAUAAAAAAAUAAAAAGGGGCAUGGGAUAUAGCUCAGUGCAAAGGCCUGGGAUUAACCCCCAGUACUGGGUGGAAAAGGACCUUGCAGAUGUGAUUAAGGAUUUUCGGGGGGGGGGGCAAUCCUGGAUUUGUCAGGUGUGCCCAAUAUCUUUAGAGGCGUCCUUAAAAGUGAAAGAGAGGCAGUAGGAGAGUCGGUGUUGGAGGGACAUAGUGGAGGAAAACUCAACUCUCCAUUGCUGGGUUUGAAGAUGAAGAAAGGGCUCCACUAGCCGAGGAAGCCCUUGUUGAAAAAUACAGCAGUCCUGAUAGAGAGUCCCAGGAGAGGAAAGCAGGGCCAGCACCGUGGAAAACACUGCAGGACUGACCUUGAACUGAAUUCAAGUGAUGUGCCUGCCUCAGCCUCCCAAGUACACAAGAGAACACAUGUGUGCCACCAUGCCUCAUGUCAGACUUUUUCAGGUUAUGACAAUACAUCAGAAAGAUUAUAAAUUAACUUCUAAGUUCUGCUGUGGCUAUGGUACAAGCACUGUUGUGUAUUAGUAUUAGCUCUCAUAUUCUAUUUUCCAUUAUUUAUUUUAAAAGUGUAUUUCUUAAUUUUCAAAUAUAUAGGAGUUUAUCUUACGUUCUUACUUGUUUCUAGCUUCAUUAUAUUAUAACAAAAAAUAUGCCUCAUCAUUUUGAUCCUUUGAAAUGGGCUUAUUGUGGUCAGUACAUGGUCAAUGUAUUAUGUGCCUGUGAAGAAUAUAUAUUCAGAAUUAUCUGGUUUUGUGUUCCAUACUGGCCAAGUGUUGACAAAUUUCUGAUUGCCUGUAAUUACUGACUUGACUUGACCAAACUUUAGUUAGGCUUCUCUCCUGUUUUAGGUCCCUGUGCUCUGGCCCACACUUAAACUUAGACAGUACUGAGACAUAGGGUUGCCACUUUAGGGCCUUAUUCAAAGAAUCUAGAGACCAAACAGACAUUCCCAUAAGUCCAUUAUGAUUAUGCCAUCUGCUCACCCCACUGCUUGCUGCCCUCUCCUAGAAACUUGCUGCUCACCUGCUCAUCCCUCCCUCUAUGAAAGCAAUGACCUUUUCCAUUUGAUUUUGAGAUUGUUGUAGAUCCCGAGGUCAGAGUGCUAUCCUUAUUGCAAUAGCCUUUUCUCAUACUUUUUCAACUCGGGAUUUAUUUGGGGCAAUAUACAACAAUUAGUCAAUCAGUUUACCUUCUUAAUGAAAUUGCAUAUCUUAAAUUGUUCUGUCUUCUUGCCUGCUGUUUCUUAGAGAGCUAAUUUAAAACAACCAACUUGUAAGUAGGUUCAUCUGAUUUUUAGUCAUGUUUCUAAUUUCUUUAUUCCAAAAUUUGAGACUUUAUGUGUGUACAAAUUUUAAAAAUUGCCAAUGACGUGAAUACCUUAUCAUUCGAAUUUAAUCCAUGUACUCCCUAAUAAAAUGCUGUUUGCUUUAAAAUGGAAAAAUAAAAGAUAUUUUAAACCCCAGCCCUCAAUUGGAAUUUUAAAAAGAUACUCAUUUUUACCAAAACUUCUAAAGCAUUCAACUUUUAUGUGUUUUUUUGUUUGUUUGUUUGUUUUUUGGUACCAGGGAUCGAACUCGGGACUUUGAGCUUGCGAGGCAGGCGCCAGAACCAGAGCUAAAUCCCUGGCCCUAAAGCAUUCAACUUUGUGUUUUCACCUUUCAUCAAUUUACCACACUGUCAAAUUACAUUACAUAAUUACAAUAGCAAGUACAACUCCUAUAAACCUGUUUGGACACCACAGCUGAGUGCAAAAAUUGAAGACUUUUCUAUUAAGGAGCUCACACAGUGUGGGGAACAAUGCACUCAGUGAUUUAAGUGCAGAUGGUCAGUUGGGAGAGGUC